rnacentral:rRNA from 1 species
GACGAACGCUGGCGGCGUGCUUAACACAUGCAAGUCGAACGGAAACGCCCUGCUUUUGUGCUCUUCUGGAGUGGCGGACGGGUACGUAUCACGUGAGUAUCCUGCCCUUCACUUUGGGGUAACUUCAGGUAACUAGACCUACUCCCAGACCGGAGCUCCCGCUGCAUGGUGGGCGUUGGAACUUUUCGGCGGUUGGGGAUGGACUCGCGGCUUAUCAGCUUGUUGGUGGGGUAGUGGUUUACCCAGGAAUUGGAGGGUAGCCGGCCUGGGAGGGUGACCGGGCACAGGGGGACUGAGAGAGGGCCCAGACGCCUACGGGAGGCAGCAGGGGGAAAUAUGACACAGUGGGCGGAAGCCGGAUGCAGCAACGCCGCGGGCGGGAUGACGGCCUGCGGGGUGUAAACCGCAGUCGCCUGUGACGAAGCGGGAGUGACGGUAAUGGGUAAAGAAGCACCGGCUAACUACGUG